ACCCGCUGAACUUAAGCAUAUCAAUAAGCGGAGGAAAAGAAACCAACAGGGAUUGCCCUAGUAACGGCGAGUGAAGCGGCAACAGCUCAAAUUUGAAAUCUGGCCCUCGGGUCCGAGUUGUAAUUUGUAGAGGAUGCUUUUGGUGAAGUGCCUUCCGAGUUCCUUGGAACAGGACGCCUUAGAGGGUGAGAGCCCCGUACGGUUGGACACUAAGCCUCUGUAAAGCUCCUUCGACCGAGUCGAGUAGUUUGGGAAUGCUGCUCUAAAUGGGAGGUAAAUUUCUUCUAAAGCUAAAUACCGGCCAGAGACCGAUAGCGCACAAGUAGAGUGAUCGAAAGAUGAAAAGUACUUUGAAAAGAGGGUUAAAUAGCACGUGAAAUUGUUGAAAGGGAAGCGUUUAUGACCAGACCUUUGUCUAGCGGAUCAUCCGGUGUUCUUCACCGGUGCACUUCGCUAGGCUUAGGCCAGCAUCGAUUUCUGUAGGGGGAUAAAGACCAUGGGAACGUAGCUCUCUCCGGGGAGUGUUAUAGCCCUAGGUGUAAUACCUUUACGGGGAUCGAGGUUCGCGCUUCUGCAAGGAUGCUGGCGUAAUGGUCAUCAACGACCCGUCUUGAAACACGGACC
rnacentral:rRNA from 1 species